rnacentral:tRNA from 1 species
CGGGGUAUAGCUCAGGAGUAGAGCGCGCGGUUCGGGACCGCGAGGCCGUCGGUGCGAAACCGACUACCCCGACAA